CACUAAGAAGCUAUGUAUACGCAACAGCCUUUUAAGCUGUAGACAGGUAAUUAACAUUACCCUUUGUGA
rnacentral:tRNA from 1 species